CAUACAUCCAUUUUCUGUAAUUUCCAUAAGGAAAUCAAAUAGAAUAAAUCUUACUAAAUACAUGAAAAAGAAAAUAGAAAUAGAAGAAGGGAGGGGAAAUUGUUGGUGAGUGUAUGACUGUUGAACAGCGCCGCCGGCGCUACGCGCCACGGCGGCUGGCGGAAGGAGGCAGGGGCGGCGUACGGCGAGAGAGGAAACAGGGGCAGCGGCACCGUGGUCUCUGCCGCUGCUGUGUACUUCCGGUCAGGGCGGAGGGAGAGGCGCUUGGGUUGUGCCGCUGUCGACGCGAGAGGGCGGUAGUGGUGGCGAAGGUCGCCGGAGAAGGAGACGCGGCCGCGGCUUGGCGCGGCGAGGAGAGGCAAGAGACCGAGGGAGAGAGGGAAGGAGAGAGAAGUGGAGCAGUUGCUGUGCGUAAGUGAGUGAAUGAGUGUUAUAUUAGGGGUUGAUAUUAGUCUUUGGGCUUGGGCUUAGGUUAAAUUCAUUUAAUGAGCUGAAUUUACUUAAAUAAUUGGGCUAAUAAUUUUAAUAAAAAUUGGGCUUUUAUUUUAAAUUAAGAUUUAAGCAACAAGAUCAUGCCUUAAAUAUUUUAUUAAUAAGAUCAAUGUAAUUUUAAAGGUUUUAUGUAAAUUUUCUUUAAUUUUUAAAUUAUUUUUACAAGUUCAAAUAGGCCCUUAUGUUUAUUAUUUGAAUUUAUCUGACUAGGUGCGGCGCGACUAGGACAUAACUGUUGAUCUGAAAUUAUUCAAGUUAUCUAUCAAAUCCAUAUUUUCAGGUGUGGGAUUUAUUUCAGUACAUGCACGUGGUUAAUAUUUGUCCAUUUUAAUAUUAUGUGUUUACCGUAUGUGUUGUAAAAAUAUUUAUCGCUAGGGGCCAGCAUAAUUGGUCCAGGACUUCACCGUCCUUGGUAUGCCACAAUGCGAUUUCAUGUUACAGGGUUGCAACCAUUAUAUUGUCGCCAGGGGCCCACAUAUAGGGUCCGGGACAUUAAAGUCCUUGGAGUUGCCACAGUGCGUAUGGAAGUUAUGUUACGUUAUGACAAUAUGUGUUACCAUUUUAUUAACAUGGACAAUUAUUGCAUGUUCCCACACUGAGUGUACCCUGUAUGCUCAUCCCAUAUUCAACAGUUUCAGGUGAUUGAUAUUGGAGGCGCGUGGAGAGUCGAAUGGGCGCGUCGAAUCUAAUUAAAAAUAAAUGUUUCUUAAAACAUAUUAUGUUAUUUCAUUUGAUAUCUUUUGGUUAUGUAAACUCUGAAAUUCUAUACUAUUUGAGAUUUGUGUGUGAUUUGUUUAAAUAAAUGUUAUUAUAUUAUUUUAA
rnacentral:lncRNA from 1 species